rnacentral:lncRNA from 1 species
AUGUGGUGCCUGCGAGGACCACGGUGGGAGCUGAGCACUACCCCACCCCCGAGGGGACAGUGUGUGUACGGGGACGCCCUCUCUAACAUCAUCCCCGCAGCUGGGGAGGAUCUUUUAGUGCCGAGGAGAGGACUAAGCACCUGCUGCGAGGAAGGACAGGGAUCCUCAGGAAGGGGGUCCUGGCCACUGUGGCUACUGUUUACCUGAAUCUCCUUCAUCUCAGCUCCUUCCUCCCUCCUCCCAGGAGAAAAAAGAUGUGUAAGAAAUUAGCCCAUGGACCCCAGCUCCACCUGAACAUCAAUAUACCGUGAGGACAUUCCAGAGUCCCUGCAAAAGGUCUCGUGAGCUGCAGUUCAUUGAGUGGCUUUAGGUCACACGGAGAAAGGAGGGUUCCAGUUCCCUCUGAGAGGGCAGCCCAGGAGCCGGCACGGAAGGAGCAGGAUGCGUGUCACCUGAGACUCCGAUGACGGUGCGAGCCACAGCACUCGUGUGUGAGAACGGAGAGAAGCAGGUGCUGACAGGUGCAGAGCCUGCUCCUGCCCCCUGGGCUAGAUGGGACAUGCGUACUGACCUCACGGGCUUGCUGUGAGGACUAGAUGAGAGAAUGCGAGCGUUGGACUCCGGAGCUGCGGCUGUUCAGUAGGAAAGACCAAAAGCAAAUGGUAAACAAGAGAGAAGACACACAUGCAUGCACAAAUAAAAACAGCAGCACCACCACCACCACCGCCGCCGCCACCACCAGCAAGCCAUGGAAUGCUGGGCCGGAGAGGCUGCCCAGAGAGCUGUCCUGACUCUGAAUUCACAGAAGUCCUUGCUACAAACUCCAACCUUCUAUUCUAUAGAAGCCUUAGCCAGGGCAGAACAUCGGUUACUUGUGGAAGACUCAAGAAUCAGAUCUGAAGUCUGCUCUCCUGGCCUCUUGAGAGAAGAAAACAAAUCCAUUCCACGGGCUAGGGAAUGUCGGUGAAACAACCUGGCCACACCGCACUUCUUAGAAGCAAAUAUUCUAUGGGAGAAACAAUCACAAGGGGUAACUCUAGAGCCUCAAGCACUGAAGUCAUCAACUGAGUUGGUGACACUCCAAACCCCCUUGGGCUGGGGUGCAAGAGCUGACGGACGCAGCCUUGGCGGCCACCUUCUCCUUCAAGCUCCUUGGCCAGGUGGGAGCCGUCAGGUCCACAUGCACACCUCCAACACUUCCCAAGCGAUGGCCAGCGCUAAAGCAGAAGCAAUAGGAUGACAUCUGCUGGUGCGUCUGUAUCCAGGCCGGGCAUACGUGUGCUCUGGAGGUGCCCCUGAGGGAGGGGCCUCAGAGCAGCAGGGGGAAGAGUCUGGCUCCUGGAACACAUAGUGUUCCCUGCUUGGGGGAGACUUUCCUGCCCUCCUUCUUCCUCCUACGUCCUUGCUCUGUGGGCCAUUCCUUCUCUUCUAGCCUUACUGGAAACAACAUUCUUCCAACUGAAGAUGUAACUGAGGCCUGAAUUAUGGUAAAGGAAGAUUAUUACAACAGCCUUUAAAAUACUUGCCUAAGCUGAGCUCCUGAAGAAACUUGGACCUGUCUCCUUGACCACGCCUUUACACCCGCACCUGACAUCCAUGGCUCUGAGGCCCAGAAAGAGCUGAGGAGGUCAUAGAGAUCAUCAAUGCUCUGCUUGCUUUGAUGUACCAUUAAGAAGACGAUCUUUCCUCUAACAGCCCCAUACAACUGAGCAGCGCCACCACGUCAUACCGGUACCCUUUUCUUUACCCCUUAAAGAAUACCCAGGAAAGAAAGAUAACUAAAGGAAGUAAAGGACCAGAUCUUUUACCACCUUCCUGCGUGGGUGAUCCAUCCUCUUCCUCUAUAACAUCAUUUCCCUAGGACAGAAGGAAGGCCCUGUGAGUCUAUGAAGCGGCAAAAUGAGUAAACUGAUUGGCUGAAGACAGAACUAAUCAUCCUACUGGUAUCUAACUCCAGGGCCUACGUUAAUAGCAUAUAUUUCCAUCUGUGUUUAAUAUGCCUCAGAGGCUGAGUAGAGGCAGAUCUUGCUUGGAGAGGCACCAUCUGCCUACAGGGAUUAGAUCCGAGCCACAUUACCCAUAUAUGCUCAGAAUGGUCUGUCAGGAACACCCUUGUUAAUAGUUUAGCUGAUACUGUUUCUCUAAGGUGGAAGUAAAAAUUACUAAAUGAAAGAGCA